AGUCUUUGCAGGCCGUCAAGAUAGAGAUUUCCGCACUUUGGUUCCAGAAGAGGGCGAGUCCUCCACCUCCUGGGCUGUGAGGUGGUACCAAGUGGUGAUCAUAGGUACUGAGAUUGGAUUCCCCAGCCCACAACAGUUCCAGCUCACAAGCGUUAAGGAACCGGACCUUGCGGAUGGUGAAAAUCCGCCUUGUCCUUGGAGAUUUCCGGAAUGAUGACGCUUCUUGGUUGGUUGGCUGGUCGACUUGGUCCCGAGUUCGUAGGGUGUUGUGCCUUAGGACUCGUAGGAGUUGCAUUCAGCGGAGUCUGUGUGGGUCUGUUCUGCUUAUCUAUACUCCUUGAUGGUCCUGCAGUUAUCCUUCUUCUGGGAGAUUGUUGUAUCUGGUUCGAUUGGUUCAGACUCUUGGGAGCUGUUGAUUUGCAGACUUUUUGGAGGGGAUCGGGCCGACUCCUCAAUUUCGCUCCUUACUCUCAAGGUUUCUUCUCCUACUCUAGGAACUCCAGUGGUGAUGGUCUGGUGUGUUUGAUGCCUCGGUAAUGAGGCUGCUGCGAUGAUUUGAGCUGUU